rnacentral:rRNA from 1 species
GAAACUUAAAGGAAUUGACGGGGGCCCGCACAAGCAGCGGAGCGUGUGGUUUAAUUCGAAGCAACGCGAAGAACCUUACCAGCCCUUGACAUGGCAGGACGAUUUCCGGAGACGGAUCUCUUCACUUCGGUGACCUGCACACAGGUGCUGCAUGGCUGUCGUCAGCUCGUGUCGUGAGAUGUUGGGUUAAGUCCCGCAACGAGCGCAACCCUCGCCUUUAGUUGCCAUCAUUUAGUUGGGCACUCUAGAGGGACUGCCGGUGAUAAGCCGGAGGAAGGUGGGGAUGACGUCAAGUCUUCAUGGCCCUUACGGGCUGGGCUACACACGUGCUACAAUGGCGGUGACAGAGGGCAGCUAGUCCGCGAGGACAUGCUAAUCCCUAAAAGCCGUCUCAAUUCGGAUUGCACUCUGCAACUCGAGUGCAUGAAGUUGGAAUCGCUAGUAAUCGCAGAUCAGCACGCUGCGGUGAAUACGUUCCCGGGCCUU